rnacentral:rRNA from 1 species
CCUACGGGUGGCAGCAGUGGGGAAUAUUGCACAAUGGGCGAAAGCCUGAUGCAGCGACGCCGCGUGAGGGAUGAAGUCCUUCGGGUUGUAAAACUCUGUUUAUAGGGAAGAAAAUGAGUGUACGUGACUCUUCAGGUUUGGACAAUAUCGAGCCAGCAGCCCCGGUAAGACGUAGGGGGCCAGCGUUCUCCGGAGUUACUGGGUGUAACGGGAGCGUAGAUGGUUGUGCAAGACAGAUGUGAAAGCCUGCGGCUCAACCGGAGGAGUGCAUUUGAAACUGGACGGCUUGAGUGUAGUAGAGGCAGGCGGAAUUCGUGGUGUAGCGGUGAAAUGCGUAGAUAUUAGGAAGAACACCAGUGGCGAAGGCGGCUUGCUGGACGGUAACUGACGUUGAGGCUCGAAAGCGUGGGUAGCAAACAGGAUUAGAUACCCCAGUAGUC